rnacentral:rRNA from 1 species
GAAGGUGGGGAUGACGUCAAAUCAUCAUGCCCCUUAUGACCUGGGCUACACACGUGCUACAAUGGACGGUACAAAGAGCUGCAAGACCGCGAGGUGGAGCUAAUCUCAUAAAACCGUUCUCAGUUCGGAUUGUAGGCUGCAACUCGCCUACAUGAAGCUGGAAUCGCUAGUAAUCGCGGAUCAGCAUGCCGCGGUGAAUACGUUCCCGGGCCUUGUACACACCGCCCGUCACACCACGAGAGUUUGUAACACCCGAAGUCGGUGGGGUAACCUUUUUGGAGCCAGCCGCCUAAGGUGGGACAGAUGAUUGGGGUGAAGUCGUAACAAGGUAGCCGUAUCGGAAGGUGCGGCUGGAUCACCUCCUUU